CAGCGCCAAACUGUUCUAUGGAA
rnacentral:siRNA from 1 species